AGUGAACGCUGGCGGUAGGCCUAACACAUGCAAGUCGAACGGCAGCACAGUAAGAGCUUGCUCUUACGGGUGGCGAGUGGCGGACGGGUGAGGAAUACAUCGGAAUCUACUUUUUCGUGGGGGAUAACGUAGGGAAACUUACGCUAAUACCGCAUACGACCUACGGGUGAAAGCAGGGGAUCUUCGGACCUUGCGCGAUUGAAUGAACCGAUGUCGGAUUAGCUAGUUGGCGGGGUAAAGGCCCACCAAGGCGACGAUCCGUAGCUGGUCUGAGAGGAUGAUCAGCCACACUGGAACUGAGACACGGUCCAGACUCCUACGGGAGGCAGCAGUGGGGAAUAUUGGACAAUGGGCGCAAGCCUGAUCCAGCCAUACCGCGUGGGUGAAGAAGGCCUUCGGGUUGUAAAGCCCUUUUGUUGGGAAAGAAAAGCAGCAGGUUAAUACCCCGCUGUUCUGACGGUACCCAAAGAAUAAGCACCGGCUAACUUCAUG
rnacentral:rRNA from 1 species